rnacentral:rRNA from 1 species
UGGGGAAUCUUGCGCAAUGGGCGCAAGCCUGAUCCAGCCAUGCCGCGUGGAUGAUGAAGGCCUUAGGGUUGUAAAAUCCUUUUCGCCGAGGACGAUAAUGACGGUACUCGGAGAAGAAGCUCCGGCUAACUUCGUGCCAGCAGCCGCGGUAAUACGAAGGGGGCUAGCGUUGUUCGGAUUUACUGGGCGUAAAGCGCGUGUAGGCGGGUCGUUAAGUUGGGGGUGAAAUCCCGAGGCUCAACCUCGGAACUGCCUUCAAAACUGGCGACCUGGACCUAAGUAGAGGCAAGUGGAAUUGCGAGUGUAGAGGUGAAAUUCGUAGAUAUUCGCAGGAACACCAGUGGCGAAGGCGACUUGCUGGACUUAUGGUGACGCUGAGACGCGAAAGCGUGGGGAGCAAACAGGAUUAGAUACCCCUGUAGUCCCUGAGCGGGCUGGCAAGGCGCAU